rnacentral:rRNA from 1 species
GAUGAACGCUAGCGGCAGGCUUAACACAUGCAAGUCGAGGGGUAUAGUUCUUCGGAACUAGAGACCGGCGCACGGGUGCGUAACGCGUAUGCAAUCUACCUUUUACAGGGGGAUAGCCCAGAGAAAUUUGGAUUAAUACCCCAUAGUAUGUUAGAGUGGCAUCAUUUUAACAUUAAAGUUCCAACGGUAAAAGAUGAGCAUGCGUCCCAUUAGCUAGAUGGUAAGGUAACGGCUUACCAUGGCGACGAUGAGUAGGGGUCCUGAGAGGGAGAUCCCCCACACUGGUACUGAGACACGGACCAGACUCCUACGGGAGGCAGCAGUGAGGAAUAUUGGACAAUGGGCGCAAGCCUGAUCCAGCCAUGCCGCGUGCAGGAAGACGGUCCUAUGGAUUGUAAACUGCUUUUGUACAGGAAGAAACACUCCCUCGUGAGGGAGCUUGACGGUACUGUAAGAAUAAGGAUCGGCUAACUCCGUGCCAGCCGCCGCCGUAAAAC